ACCUCCGUAGCCCAGUGGCUAGUACCUCUCGUUUGCAUCCAGGUGGUCUGGGUUCGAAUCCCAAUAGCGCCA
rnacentral:tRNA from 1 species